rnacentral:rRNA from 1 species
CGUACUGCUCAGUAACACGUGGACAACCUACCCACCGGACGGGUAUAAACCCGGGAAACUGGGUAUAAUCCCCGAUAGAUCUCGGUCGCUGGAAAGCCCCGAGAUCGAAAGCUCCGGCGCCAGAGGAUGGGUCUGCGGCCUAUCAGGUAGUAGUGGGUGUAGCGUACCUACUAGCCUACGACGGGUACGGGUUGUGAGAGCAAGAGCCCGGAGAUGGAUUCUGAGACACGAAUCCAGGCCCUACGGGGUGCAGCAGGCGCGAAAACUUUACAAUGCCGGCAACGGCGAUAAGGGGACCUCGAGUGCCAGGUUACAAAUCUGGCUGUCGUGAUGCCUAAAAAGCAUUGCAUAGCAAGGGCCGGGCAAGACCGGUGCCAGCCGCCGCGGUAACACCGGCGGCUCGAGUGGUAACCGUUAUUAUUGGGUCUAAAGGGUCUGUAGCCGGCCGGAUAAGUCUCUUGAGAAAUCCAGCAGCUCAACUGUUGGGCUUUCAGGAGAUACUGUCUGGCUCGAGGCCGGGAGAGGUGAGAGGUACUUCAGGGGUAGGGGUGAAAUCUUGUAAUCCUUGAAGGACCACCAGUGGCGAAGGCGUCUCACCAGAACGGACCUGACGGCAAGGGACGAAAGCUAGGGGCACGAACCGGAUUAGAUACCCGGGUAGUCCUAGCCGUAAACGAUACUCGCUAGGUGUCGGCCACGGUGCGACCGUUGUCGGUGCCGUAGGGAAGCCGUG